rnacentral:rRNA from 1 species
GCCCCCUUGUGGUCGGUGUACAGGUGGUGCAUGGCUGUCGUCAGCUCGUGUCGUGAGAUGUUGGGUUAAGUCCCGCAACGAGCGCAACCCUUGUCCCGUGUUGCCAGCAGGCCCUUGUGGUGCUGGGGACUCACGGGAGACCGCCGGGGUCAACUCGGAGGAAGGUGGGGACGACGUCAAGUCAUCAUGCCCCUUAUGUCUUGGGCUGCACACGUGCUACAAUGGCCGGUACAAUGAGCUGCGAUACCGCGAGGUGGAGCGAAUCUCAAAAAGCCGGUCUCAGUUCGGAUUGGGGUCUGCAACUCGACCCCAUGAAGUCGGAGUCGCUAGUAAUCGCAGAUCAGCAUUGCUGCGGUGAAUACGUUCCCGGGCCUUGUACACACCGCCCGUCACGUCACGAAAGUCGGUAACACCCGAAGCCGGUGGCCCAACCCCUUGUGGGAGGGAGCGUCG